CGACUCUGGUUUCUCUUCAUUACGCACAAGCCUUUCGCCUUUACUAAAGACUUCGUGGAGAGGAACCUUACGAGUUCAACAUAUUUUUGGAAGGGCUUUGCUUCUGGCAGAGCC
rnacentral:snRNA from 1 species